CCCACCGACCGCUGCGGCAAUGAAGUGCUACGUCAUCGUUCUCGUUGUGCUGCUGGGGUGCCUGGCGAGCUGUGACGAGCAGUGCCCAUCCUUCUGCACACUGGAGUACAACCCUGUGACUGCACGCUGCAAGGGGGGUACCGUCACCAUGUUCAGCAACAGGUGCAGCAUGAACGUCCACAACUGCGAGCAGGGAGACGAUUGCAAGGUGAUAUCAUGAUAUCAUCCGGUGAGCAGAGCUGACCGUCAAUGCUUUGACCAAGAAGGCUACAGUCAACAUGCUGUUAAGUUUUGUGUGACGUAGAUAAUUUUGUGGUUGAAAUAAAACUGUCCAAA
rnacentral:lncRNA from 1 species